rnacentral:lncRNA from 1 species
UUUUAAUACUAAAAACAUUAAUAGACCAAACAUCUCCAGCUGGGUCAGCUGCACACCUUUGUACAUGUCUGAUGAUUCAGAGUUUAAAUGGCUGUAGUUACAAUUUCUCAGGUAAACAAUUGUUUUCUCAAAUUUUUACCAAUCCCUGCAUUAUUAGGAUAAAUUUUGAGACAGUGUAAAAACCUCAAAGUACAGUAGGGUAAGUCCCAGCCCUGUUCACGUGAAAGCCAGAGGUGGCCCUUCCCCGGCAUCUGAUCGUCUGAUCAUGUGGGUGCCUGGGGCCUUGCCACCCUUCCCUGUCCACUGCUGCCCCCCUGGGCCUGUCAAGAUUUGAGGGGUGCCCACUCGCUGGCUUUGUCCCCAUCCCACUGUUAAGUAAGGUGUGCCUUGCUUUAAGCAAACUGAAUGUGAAAAUUAUGUGUAGAAGUCUGGGUUUGUUUAAAAGAAAAACUGGGAUUUUAUCUCAUCUCUUUAAAAGAGGUCUCCCAAUUCGAUUUCUGUACUGGGACUCUUCCUGGUGUGUUUUUACAUGUUCACUUUUUAAAAACAUUGAUGUACUCCCAUCCUUUUACCACUACCCUAUCACAUUUGACAAGUUCUUGCUGUAAUGACGACGCAAUUAACGAACACCAGGGGAGCGGUGGAAAGCUGCCCUCGUGUGUGAGCCCUUCGGUGACGCAAAGCCACCGUCCUGUUGUUUUGUGUGUCCUAAGCUCAGAUUUUCCUGGUUUGGAUAAAUUUUGUAAAACUGGGCAUAGCUGUACUUUUAGAAAGGGAUCGUUUUCCUUAAGUUUUGGUUUUCUCUGGUUCAAGCAGUCUUUACAUGCAGCCUUUUGAUUGCACAUCAGGGUCUCCCUUUUCUUUUCCAGAUGAUGUUGCUUUUCGGUGGUGGUCUCACACUCCUUUGAAUGAAUGUUUGCACUCUAGAACCACAAACGAUGCGUGACCAUUGUACAGCUUGCCCAAGAGGGAACUGUUGGAAGCAGGCAGUGACCUCCACGCUGUUUGUUUGAGGCUGACCUAAACUGCUAUCACUAAUGUUUACCCCCGUGACGGAGUGCCCAUUAGAACAGAUCAUGUCAGUUCAGUUCCUGUAGUGGGGUUAGUAGGUGGGGGGUUUUAUUGUUGUUGUUAUUUGUUACUUUUAUUGCUGUUAAAUGCAAAUAUUGCUAUUUAUUUUUUCCUUUCUGCUCUGGUUUGGUUUGGCCGACACAGAUAUUCCAGUGCAUGUGGUACCUAAUGGAUAUGAUAGAAAUUAUUUCCCCAACUUUUAUAAAUUGCCUAAUGUUUACCUUCAAGUUUGCUGGAUGAUUUAUUUUUGAAAGCCACAAAUGUGAUUUUUCUGGAUGAAUUGUUUUUCUUAUAUAUGCAGCAAUGUAAUUUUACAUUGAUCUGCGGGGUGGUUUAAAUUUUAUUUUUACAAGGCAGUUUUUCAGUCAAAUUAUAUAUUUGAUACAAUACGCUAGGAUAGACCGGCCACACGUCAGGCAGCCGGGACACCGGAGUGUCCCCAGGAGGCCUUUGGGGCUGGGGUGGCCCGUGGCUUGUUCCCUGCGCCUCUGGGAACUGGAUGAGUCCUUCGGCGGGACUGUGACCCGCUGGACAGUUAAAAGGAUUUUUCAUGGGCAUUUUCCUACACAUAAGGCAGUUCCAUUAGGAGGAGCUUUAGAAGUCGACAUAAUCCAGACAGUGGACAAUCCCAGUGGCCCAGACAAGCCAUACGACAUUUUCCUGUGACCUCUCUCUGACCCAUCUCUCACGCUCAUGAGAAAAGGAAUGUACAAUAAAUAGAAACAGAAACUUCCUCAGUGCUCAUGCGCCUCACUUGCAGAACGUGAGUAUUUCAUUUAUGUUUGAAGCCCUUCCCCAAAGUGACCGAGGAGUUGCACUCUAGCUGCCGUGCCAGCAGUCUCGUCUGCUGUGACGCUUCUCGGUGCGGAUGCAGUGCACCUGUGACUUUGUCAUGGGGGUGCCCCUGUUACACACACACACGCUGACUCUUUUUUAUGAGGAAAAUCUUCGACUCAAAAUAAUUGCACUGAUUUUUUGACAACUUCUUUUUACGAUGUCCCACUUCGCAUCUGCUGUACUUGUUUGAGAUGAUUGUAAAUAGAUUUGUGGUAGGAGAAGUGACAUGAAUGCAACACGUGGCUCUGUUGUGGAGACACUGCCUCGUAUUCAGUAUUAUGUGUUAAAGUUGUGUGGACUUAACUCUGUUCCGCCCUUUAGCUUCGUGUCUGUUGACCAUUUAUGAAGGACAAGUUCGCCUCAUUUUCUUUUUCUUCUGAAGGGAAGUUCUAGAUCGGUUACUAGGAGAACAUGGUCUCUUGGUGCCUGAUGAUUUAGUCCUAAGCAGACUCGUUGCAGUCUUGUGAACACUGUUGUGGUCUGUUUGAUUCCUCGUCGCUUACCGUGGCUCUCCAAAGCAUGGUCUUUGAGUUCCACCCAGCCUGGGACAGUCCAGACGGGAGGCAUCUGCUCCGCCUGCUACUAGGACGCAAGGGCCUCCUUGCAUCUCUGUGGUCAGAGUCAUCUUAAAGCCAUGAGGUUACUGUCGUGUCAAAGCUGUCAUUUGUGCCCGUUAUUUUGCUGGAGUAGCAGCGUGUGCUGUAGCCCCCGUGUGUCACUCUGUGGUCAGGCUACCCUGUGUCACACCCAGCAAGAAGUUUUUCAGCCCCAGACCAGUCUGUGUGUGUGUCCGAGUCACACCAGUGCCAUUACGGUGCCCUCGCUUAUGCUUCUUUCAGUAUGUUUUGCCAUGUUAUUGUCUAAAGUGAAUGUAUUGGCUUAGCCAAAUCACUACAGAAGGUGGUUCCUAAAUACCUUUUAGUUUAAAAAAAAAUGCAGAUAAAGGCUACCUCUGAAUUCUCAAUAGAUUCAUCAUGUUUGCUCUUAAGUGUAGCUGUCCACACUGAAAACAGCCAAUAUGUUGCCUGAAUAAACUGAAUUGUGAACAUCUAUCUGUUCAGUUCUGGCUUGAAAAUGUGUGUGCCAUACUGUGACCCACGGGCAGCCCCUCCUCCUCUACUGUGUCAGGUGGACCAGGGUCACCUCUGUUCUGCGCAGCUUUGAGAUUCUAGGAUUCUACGGCCGGCACGAAUGGCAUGGGAGGGUUCUCUGCACGGGACGGCAUAACGGCAUGCCAUCCUUCAGGCUGGCAGGAGCCUGCGCAGGUGUGGCAAAAUCUUGAAACAGCCUGUGUCCUGCCUGGCUUUUCACUUUCCUAUUUAAUAUAAGAAAGCACUUUUUUUUCUGCUUUACCUACAAAUGGGUUGAAAAUGGCCUCCUCUGUCCUCUCCUCUCUUUUAUACACUCUGUAAAAUCACAAAGGUGCUUCAACACCGACUGUCAUGCAAAUAAUACAUUUAAAAUAGUUGCAUGGUUUCAAAGACAAUGCAGACGUAAUUGGCCUUUGACUUUGGGACCUCGGGUUACUCUCACUCCCUACUGCAAAACAAACUAAGGGUUGAAAGCAAAGCAUUCUGUUCAAAUCCAGGGCCCUUUGUUUGAAAAGAACACAGGGCCCACAGCUGGUGUUUUGAAGUAGAAGUUCCCACUAGUGGCGCAGUGGACCGUCUGAUGCAGACUUGCAGGAAGUCGGUCCUGGGAGGCUCUGAACACCCCUCCCUGUGAUUAACCACUUUGCUGUCAGAAAUGUCAUUUUCCCAUACACUGUGCUGUGGGCCCGGGGCCUCCUUCGCUUCUUUCUUUGGGUUCCAUAUGUUGCCCGAUCUUGAGGUUAGCGCUCGCCCCAAUUUCUCCAUGAGUUUACUCUGAGUUGACAGGCGAUGAUCUGACAGUUGGAGGUGUCUGGGUGUUUGGAGGUGGCCCCGUUCUCAUGUUGGCUGCUCAUCAGACAUUGAGUUUGGCCCCGGCGGUUCUACUACGUCACUACCUGGAAGCAAUUGCCUUUAACACUCUGCUGUUUGGGGUUUCGAUGCUUUUUAUGCUGCGUUGCGUGCUUUCAUUCCGGAAGAGCUAAGUGUCCUUUGCAGUCUCUCUGAGAAUGUUUUGUAAUUCUGCCGCCACGCUGUUCUGUGCGGACCGACCUCAAGAGGCUUGGGCCCCCGUGGGUGUCCCACUGCCUGCCGGCCCAGGGUACAGGCUGCUUGGGUCCGCUGGGCUGGCCUUGGGCUGUCAGAAUCUGGUCCAGGGUGUUUCGAGGGGACACUGCACAGCCGCUCGCCCCUCGACUCAGUCAUGGGAGCUGCAGCACGCAGAUCCACCGCAAGCUUCCUGCACGCGCAUCUCCGGAAUGCUGCGCUGGGCCCUCCCACCAUCUUCGCGUUUGUGAGAAUUUACUCAGAAGUGAGAGAACUGAAGAUUCCUGGUGCUUUUGUUAACACGUUUCUAUCUUAUUGGUUGGUGUGGAAAUGUUAGAUGUGUUGUUAGGUUUUUAAAUGCUGUGGGUGGUAUGAUUAAAGGGUUAAGUCCUCACCUCAGCCCCCAGCCCCCUUUUGGGGGGUAGGAAGAGGCUGAGUUAUCUCCUAUUUAAAACCUCCUUGGAUUUAAGUAGUUCAGAGUUAAAGCUAAAACACCAAAUAUUAACUCUUUCCCCCAAGUGUCUCCAGGAACUGGACGUUGGGGCCAUUCUUAUUCAGUUCUUUCUGUAGCUCCAAGGUCCUUAAAAUGAGUGAGUUGAUCCCAAGAACACCCCACAGCACCAACCAGCAGGGCACAGUGCAAGCGACUUCAUAGAUCGGGGUGCUCGUGUAGGGGUCCGGGGCUCCUUUGAACUCUGGGAGUUGUGUGCGCAGUCUUGGGUGGGAGACGGCAGGUCCCUCUGUCCCAAGAAGCUGGUGGUGCCAAGGCCUUCCUCUGUCUCCAUCAGUGCCAGCCUGAUCGCGUUCUGGAAGACCCAGUCUCAGACUCUGUGCCUUUAAAGUCCGGUCCUCAGUGUCCUUUCAGAAUCAUGUUGGGGCUGCGUUUCUCUGGGGAACUAAGCCUGUGCCAUUCCACAAGGCAGGCGUGGACCUCCAGCCUUGGAAGCUUUCUUUCCGCUCCUCAGCCCCUGACUUGUAAACUGUGAUGCCAUGCAGUCUGGAGCCGCGGGGGACGCACUCGGUCUCAUUGCGGAAAACACUUGGUUCCAGUCGUGUGGUUUCUCCCAUACCCUGACCAAGUCCACCUCUGCCAGGAUUGCAGGAGAUUGGUGCAAGACCCAUCUCUUAUGCAUUGACCAUGACCAUCAGCAAAGCCUGGUGGUCUUGUUCUCAUAGUCACUCGAGAAGAAUAUUUAUUGUAAUGGAAGUAGAUUUUUUAAAAAAGGAAUUGGAAUCAUGUCUUUGUAGAAUGUGUGUGUGUGAAGUCCUCAGCUGUAAGGUGCUAUUCAGUCCUGUGACCCUUAUUUUGGAAUGCUCUUCAUUACUGUUGCUCUGUUUUGUGACUUCCUGGGAAACCGCUUACUUUGGUGUGGUGUCACCUUGAGCUGUGCACAUAGGACACCAGUUUUGACUUAACCUAACAGGCAGUUUUUAUCUCUAGCUUUUUCAAGCCAGGUAUUGAGCAGUUUCUUGGCCAAUGGCCUGAGAAACCACCUGUCCCUGUCAAGGGGUGAUUUUAUUGGUUUUAAGUGGGGAAGUAAUCCCAUGUACUUAUUUCUUAAAUACCUAGGAAGUUCUUCUUGGUGGCUCCUCUUGGCCCUCCCCUCUUUCUCCCCCAACCCACCAUCCUGCAAGGCAAGGAAUGGCCUCUCCCUCCACAGAGGCAACGGCUGCAGAGGGAGCACUGUGGCUGCCAUCCCAGUUCCUCUUCAAAGCCAAACAGACACGCGUGACUCAAAUCCUACAGUAUGGAGGGUGGCGUUGCAUUGAAAUUCCAGGCCUGAGUUUGAUAGUGGAUUUUAAUGUAGUUGUUAAAGGUAUGAAUUCAUGUUUUAUAACUGUAGAGGCAAGCAAGUUUUUAUUUUUUAAAAAGUUUUGAGAGAAUAAUUUAUAAGUUUCUGUGCAGCAAAGUGGCUAAUUACUCAUUAAAUACAGGAAAAGAAUGUAGUAUCUAAAUCCAGCUUUUUCUUACCUCUGGUACACUUCAGAUUACUUACCUAAUACAUAUUGAGGGCUUUUAACCCUUAGUUUUAUCAAUUUUUCUAGUUUUAUUUUAUUUUUAUAAAAUAAUUGAAAAAGAACCAAAAAUGAAUUCAGAAGUUCCAUAGAUGGAUUUUUGCCCCUUCUUAAUUUUCUCCCACAAUGAAAACAUUUUAGAAGACAUUUUGAAUCAAAAUGUAUUAUGACCAUUGAAAGUUCUCUAUUUUCUAAGAAGCUGAGCAGCUCCAAGGGCCUCGUUUCAGGUGGUACUCUAUGUAUUGUCUGUGGGCUUGUUUCUACCUGUACAGUGGAACCAUGUGACCAUGUCUUGUGCUUGCAAUAUAGAAACCAUGCAGUGCUGUUUUGUGAAUUGGCAGUUUCUGUAUAAACUCUUAUUUAUAUACAUUGGCCUCUCUGUAUGAUUUUCCAUUUGCUACAUGAAUUGUAAAAUUAAUUAUAAAAUUAUAGUACCUGCUAAAUACAAUUCUGAGGCUUCAUGUCAUUGUCUUUAGUUGAAUACCAUGCUGUGUGUCUUGAAGAUGUCCACGCUUGCAUGAUGCUAGGUGGCAAUGCCACUUUAAAUUAAGCCUUAAUCAGAUGUUAAAUUUGUGAGUUUCAGAGUAUGCAAAAAUAUUAGGCAGAGUGAGUGUAAACUGUUCAGAUCAAGAUGCUGUAUCAUAAUUCAAGUUAUUUUUUUCUGGAGUUAAAGGGAAGCAUUCAGUGAUACACCUCUCUCUCUCUCUCUCUCUCUCCCCCUCUCCCCCCUCCCCCUCCCUCUCUCUGUCUCUGUCUCUGUCUCUCUCUCUCUCUCUUGUCUAGCUUGGCUAUGGCCAUAGCUUGAUGAAAAUGGACCAUUGUGCAUUUCUGUGACAGUCAAAAAGACCUGUUCUAAAAGUCUUGCGACUUUUUCAGGGUUUUUUUUUUUUUUCAUGUUUCUUUUUUUUUUUCCCCUCCAGUCUGAGAUUUCUGUGUGGCUGAUGGAGAGUGUGAUUUGGGCGUAGGUCUUAUUUGCAAACCUGCUCAUGUUCUAAGCUUUCUUCAGGUAGUACCACCUGUCAUCGCUUCUGCAUAUGAUUUAAAUGGAUUUUUGUUUUUAUAAAAGUAUCAUAAAUUUAGAGAUAAAAUGGAGGGGACCCAGCUUUCUUUACAAUGUGGAUCUACCUCAGUUAAACAGUUGGGUGCUAUUACUAAGUCUGUCAAAUUAAAUUGGAAAAAGUAACCAAACAGUGAGAUACAACUCCACAUGAAACUUGAAAUUGUAAUUUCCGUUUAUUUAAUGAUAUUUUUAUUUAUUUGUGCCUUUUAUGUUGAACCCCAAUGCAUUGAAAAAAUUCAGUAUGAAACAGUACAUAUUUUAUUUAUAUUACAGGUGGGAGAAAAGUCCAAUUGGUCAUGGAAUUUGAUAGACUUUUCCCCAGCCAACUGCUACAGUGUAUUAUAAUCCCGACUGCCCCCCUGUGAAAAGAAAAAAAAAAAUGUCCAAGAGCAAAUUUAACAUUUUACAAACAAUAAAGUCCAAACUCCUCUAUGCACAUAUUUAUAGCUUAUCACUUCAUUUUCUGUGCCAGUGAAGGGGUGGCCAGAAAAAAAAUCCCAAGUACCCUCAUCAUUGCUUUUCUAGCCAUUCAUGCCCCCUCUUCCUCUGGCACAUUUUCUAAGAGUUUAUUUCAUAAGCAGCAAACGGACUGUUGUCGAUUUCAUCUCUCCUGACCUACCUGGUGGAGGUGCUAAUGGCCAUGGACAGAAAGGGGCGAGCCAGAGCUCGUGGCUUUGUGGAGGCAGAGGCCUGCAUUCAGCAGCGGCCCUGUGUGCCUGUAAGUUAGGAAGGCUUUCUGACAGGUAAGAAAAUGAGAUAGGUUGAUGACUUACCAUGCUUUUAUAUUUGGCAGUUUACAAUUCUAGACUUUUCCUACUAUGGCGAUCUUUUUUUACUUAAUUCUUUGGAGGUAACAAUAUUUUGGAGUCUUAAGAAUUUGAUUUUAUACCAAUAAGAAAUAAAAAUUAGGGAUCUUUCCUGUAGUAUAUAGUUUUACUAUUUUAAAGAGAUCUCUGAAUUUUACAAGAGAACCAACAUUCCUUAAUGGCAGAACUUUGAAAGUUGAUUUGGGAGGCUUUUUGCUGCAGGAUCUCAAAAAUAGAGAGAGAGAUGAUUCUACUUAAAUGUUUUUAAUUUUCUAACUUCCAUCAGGUUGAUACUUAAGCUCUAUUUUGUAAAGAGUAAAUCAUCCUUUAGUAUGCUGCAUAAGAUGAUCAGCAUUCUUGCACUUUCUCAGUAAUAAGACGUGCCGGGCAAUUGGCUCCCCAGGACGCAUUGUGUUUUUAACCUAACGAGAGGACUUUGGGGCAGGUGAUUAAAUUUAUAUAGGUACCUCAAGAAAAAGAACCUGAAUAUGCUGCAUUUUCUUUCUUUAGCUUUUACAUGUAGCAUUUUGUUUUGCUUUUGUUAUUUUUGUUUUGAUAUAUGCUUUUUGGACCCCAAUAGACUGUUGAAAGAAAUUUAAAAAUUACUCUUGUAGGGAUAUAGUAUCCUUAAAAAAUAAAAAUUUAAAAAAAUUUAAAAAAAUUGCUGCAAUAUCUGGCUCGAAGGUUGCCCUAUAUUAGAAUAAUACUUUAGCCAAAUACACCUGAGGAGGCAGACACUGUGUUUAUAAGCAGACAAUAAUGUUCUGAAUCCUUCCUGUUCAUGCUGCUUUCUUAAUUCAUUUCUCCAUGUCAUCAAGAGGUUGGAUAACUUAUUUCUAAGCUCAAGGUUAAAAAUCAUGUCACCUUUUUUUUUUUCCCCCAACACAGACCUCAGAAAAAUUGCGAUUGAGGAAGUAGCAUGAUCCUAAAUGUGUUGCUGAAAUCAGGCAGCCCGAGCCUCUGGUCUCUCCAGAGAGCCCGUCUUCACAUUUCUCUAUUCCUCAGCACUCACCCGAAACUGAACAGAUGGGGAGUGGUCUUGAUUGUCAAGAUAAAACUGGUGAAGAAAGCUAAAUGCUGAGAAACUGAGCAUCUAUUGUCGUGUUUAAGCUUAGCUGGGUCCUUUCUAGUUUGUUUUUACAGCUUACUAGGUGAAGUAGUUUGCACUAUUUUUGCAAUAAAUUCAUGGAAAACCUAACAGUUACUUGUUUUGUUUCUUACUGUGUGUAUAUAAACUAAUACUAAAAGUUUGGCAUAGUGUUUUUUCACCUCCUUACAUAACCCCUAACAUGCACAGAAUGCUGUAAAUCUGAUAAAAUAUGAUGUGAAUGAUAUUUUAUAAAGUUAUUUUGUAUGGUGUCAAUUUUGUUUUGCCUCAUAGUAUGUCAGCAAAAAAUUAAAUAAAAGUCCUCCUAUUUACA